AGUGAACGCUGGCGGUAGGCCUAACACAUGCAAGUCGAACGGCAGCACAGUAAGAGCUUGCUCUUACGGGUGGCGAGUGGCGGACGGGUGAGGAAUACAUCGGAAUCUACUUUUUCGUGGGGGAUAACGUAUGGACACUUACGCUAAUACCUCAUACGACCUACGGGUGAAAGCAGGGGUUCUUCGGACCUUUCGCGAUUGAAUGAGCCGAUGUCGGAUUAGCUAGUUGGCGGGGUAAAGGCCCACCAAGGCGACGAUCCGUAGCUGGUCUGAGAGGAUGAUUAGCCACACUGGAACUGAGACACGGUCCAGACUACUACGGGAGGCAGCAGUGGGGAAUAUUGGACAAUGGGAGCAAGCAUGAUCCAGAAAUACCGCGUGGGUGAAGAAGGCAUUCGGGUUGUAAAGCCCUUUUGUUGGGAAAGAAAAGCAGCAGGUUAAUACCCCGCUGGUCUGACGGUAACCAAAGAAUAAGCACCGGCUAACUUCGUG
rnacentral:rRNA from 1 species